GAGUUUGAUUCUGGCUCAGGACGAACGCUGGCGGCGUGCUUAACACAUGCAAGUCGAACGGAAAGGCCCCCACCUUGGUGGGGGUGCUCGAGUGGCGAACGGGUGAGUAACACGUGGGUGAUCUGCCCUGUACUUCGGGAUAAGCUUGGGAAACUGGGUCUAAUACCGGAUAGGACCAUGGUUUAGUGUCUCAUGGUGGAAAGAUUAUUGUUUUGGUGCAGGAUGAGCUCGCGGCCUAUCAGCUUGUUGGUGGGGUAAUGGCCUACCAAGGCGUCGACGGGUAGCCGGCCUGAGAGGGUGGACGGCCACAUUGGGACUGAGAUACGGCCCAGACUCCUACGGGAGGCAGCAGUGGGGAAUAUUGCACAAUGGGCGCAAGCCUGAUGCAGCGACGCCGCGUGGGGGAUGACGGCCUUCGGGUUGUAAACUCCUUUCGUUAGGGACGAAGCCACACCUUUUUUUGGGUGUGGUGACGGUACCUUUGUUAAGAAGCACCGGCUAACUACGUGCCAGCAGCCGCGGUAAUACGUAGGGUGCGAGCGUUGUCCGGAAUUACUGGGCGUAAAGAGCUCGUAGGUGGUUUGUUGCGUCGUCUGUGAAAUUCCGGGGCUUAACUUCGGGGUGGCAGGCGAUACGGGCAUAACUAGAGUGCUGUAGGGGAGACUGGAAUUCCUGGUGUAGCGGUGGAAUGCGCAGAUAUCAGGAGGAACACCGAUGGCGAAGGCAGGUCUCUGGGCAGUAACUGACGCUGAGGAGCGAAAGCAUGGGGAGCGAACAGGAUUAGAUACCCUGGUAGUC
rnacentral:rRNA from 1 species